UGGUUCAGUGGUAGAACUCCUGCCUUCCAUGUGGGAGACCCUGGUUCGAUUCCUGG
rnacentral:tRNA from 1 species